UGCCUAUGUGGUGUUUGGCAAAACAUG
rnacentral:piRNA from 1 species